rnacentral:rRNA from 1 species
GACAGAGGGGGCAAGCGUUGCUCGGAAUCACUGGGCGUAAAGGGCGCGUAGGCGGGAUGGCAAGUCAGUCGUGAAAUCUCUCGGCUCAACCGAGAAACGUCGGCUGAUACUGCCGUUCUUGAGGGAUGCAGAGGAGACUGGAAUUCCCGGUGUAGCGGUGAAAUGUGUAGAGAUCGGGAGGAACACCGGUGGCGAAGGCGGGUUGCUGGGCCGACACUGACGCUGAGGCGCGAAAGCCAGGGGAGCAAACGGG